UACGUAGGUGGCAAGCGUUGUCCGGAAUUAUUGGGCGUAAAGCGCGCGCAGGUGGUUUCUUAAGUCUGAUGUGAAAGCCCACGGCUCAACCGUGGAGGGUCAUUGGAAACUGGGGAACUUGAGUGCAGGAGAGAAGAGUGGAAUUCCACGUGUAGCGGUGAAAUGCGUAGAGAUGUGGAGGAACACCAGUGGCGAAGGCGACUCUUUGGCCUGUAACUGACACUGAGGCGCGAAAGCGUGGGGAGCAACAGG
rnacentral:rRNA from 1 species